rnacentral:rRNA from 1 species
UACGUAGGGUGCAAGCGUUGUCCGGAAUUAUUGGGCGUAAAGAGCUCGUAGGCGGUCUGUCACGUCGGCUGUGAAAACCCGGGGCUCAACUCCGGGCCUGCAGUCGAUACGGGCUGGCUUGAGUGCGGUAGGGGAGACUGGAAUUCCUGGUGUAGCGGUGGAAUGCGCAGAUAUCAGGAGGAACACCAAUGGCGAAGGCAGAUCUCUGGGCCGUAACUGACGCUGAGGAGCGAAAGCAUGGGGAGCGAACAGG